rnacentral:tRNA from 1 species
UCCCGCUUAGCUCAGUGGUAGAGCGCGUCACUAGUAAGAAUUGGCCAUCUUGAAUGGUUAUUUGCUUACGUAAUCAACAUGACGAGGUCAGUCGUUCAAGUCGGCUAGCGGGAA